CUGGUUGAUCCUACCAGUAAUAUACGCUCGUCUCAAAGGUUAAGCCAUGCAUGUCUAAGUACAAACAUAUUUAAUGUGAAACCGCAUAAGGCUCAGUAUAACAGCUAUAAUUUACGAGAUCAUCACCUAAGUUACUUGGAUAACUGUGGAAAAUCUAGAGCUAAUACAUGCAAAAUGCCAGGACCUCGCGGGACUGGUGCACUUAUUAGUCAAACCAAUCGCGGGGCCUCGUGCCCCGUGUCAUUGAGUUGAAGUCUGGAUAAGGAUGCCGAUCGUAUGGUCUUGCCACCGACGACAGAUCUUGCAAAUGUCUGCCCUAUCAACUAUUGAUGGUAGUGUAGAGGACUACCAUGGUUGCGACGGGUAACGGGGAAUCAGGGUUCGAUUCCGGAGAGGGAGCCUGAGAAAUGGCUACCACAUCCAAGGAAGGCAGCAGGCGCGUAAAUUACCCAAUCCCGGCACGGGGAGGUAGUGACGAGAAAUAACAAUAUGGACCUCUCUAACGAUGGUCCAUAAUUGGAAUGAAUUGAGCAUAAAUCCUUCAAUAAGGAUCAAGUGGAGGGCAAGUCUGGUGCCAGCAGCCGCGGUAAUUCCAGCUCCACUAGCGUAUAUU
rnacentral:ncRNA from 2 species